rnacentral:rRNA from 1 species
GCACAACGCGAAGAACCUUACCUAGGCUUGACAUGCAUCUCUAAGCGCGUGAAAGCGCGUGACCCUUCGGGGGAUUUGCACAGGUGCUGCAUGGCCGUCGUCAGCUCGUGUCGUGAGAUGUUGGGUUAAGUCCCGCAACGAGCGCAACCCUUGUGAACAGUUGCCAGCACUUAAGGUGGGAACUCUGUUCAGACUGCCCAGAUCAACUGGGAGGAAGGUGGGGACGACGUCAGGUCAGUAUGGCCCUUACGCCUAGGGCUGCACACGUACUACAAUGCCCAGCACAAUGAGAACCGAGACCGCGAGGUGGAGGAAAUCUAAAAAACUGGGCCCAGUUCGGAUUGGAGGCUGCAACUCGCCUCCAUGAAGUUGGAAUCGCUAGUAAUGGCGCAUCAGCUACGGCGCCGUGAAUACGUUCCCGGGUCUUGUACACACCG